UUCACACUCACAACACAACAGGUCAUGUGGAGGCAUACAAUCACCACUCUCCACUCGCCCGUAACCUUUUUCACACUAACAACACUACAGGUCACGUGGAGGCAUACAAUCACCACUCUCCACUCGCCCGUAACCUUUUUCACACUAACAACACUACAGGUCAGGUGGAGUCAUACAAUCACCACUCUCCACUCUCCCGUAACCUUUUUCAUCACUAACUACACUACAGGUCACGGGGAGGCAUACAAUCACCACUCUCCACUCGCCCGUAACCUUUUUCAUCACUAACAACACUACAGGUCAUGUGGAGGCAUACAAUCACCACUCUCCACUCUCCCGUAACCUUUUUCACACUAACAACACUACAGGUCAUGUGGAGGCAUACAAUCACCACUCUCCACUCGCCCGUAACCUUUUUCAUCACUAACUACACUACAGGUCAUGUGGAGGCAUACAAUCACCACUCUCCACUCACCCGUAACCUUUUUCAUCACUAACAACACUACAGGUCACGGGGAGGCAUACAAUCACCACUCUCCACUCGCCCGUAACCUUUUUCAUCACUAACAACACUACAGGUCAUGUGGAGGCAUACAAUCACCACUCUCCACUCGCCCGUAACCUUUUUCAUCACAACGACUCCAUGUUUGCUCUUUAAAAUAACAUUUAAGCAUUGGAGUAGUUCAUGGCAUUAUUAGUGUACAUAUCAAAUUUUAAUCAUCAAAUUAUUCUUAUGCUUGGUUGUGUCCCCUCAGUGUAUUUCAAUUUUGUGAACUAACAUCCAAUAUUCUAGAAACAGAAAUAGAUUAUGUAUAUACUUUCACAAGGUUUGACAUCCUUGUAUAAGCAGAUACUGAUAACGAUUUUAUACGGUUUCAUAACUAUUACAUUAUGAUGUGAUGAGUUUGUAUGUAAGUUGAAAACUUUAGAGUAUGAAAAGUUUCGGUAUUUAAACAAAAUAACUAAAUUAUAACAUACAUAGGGUACAUUCAAACAGUUAUCUAUUCAAUUGCUCAAGGAUGUUAAAAUAUGCAUCAUUGUACACAUACACCUGACAUUCAACUGCACAGACACAAAUUAAGAUACACUGAAAUUACCAUAUCGAGGAACCGACAUAAUAAAUCCCCCCCCUACUCCUAUAUUACCCCGUUCUUCUUGUGAAAGUGUGUGUGGAUUUAGUUUAAAUAUAAGGGAACAAUCUGUUUAUGUAAUAUCAUAUGUUCCCGUGCUGUACAUUUAUUGUUUUGAUUUGUCUGCAUCAAAAAACAUGUCCCAUAAAAUAGUUCUAUAGUUAUGGUUCAUGUCGCCAAAAGGCUCACAGGAUGAGGUGUCAAUACUUGUAGACCUCUCGAGACGUCAUUUACGGAGGAUGACCAUUACAAGUAAAUAAUUCCUCGCCUACACCCUGUCACGUUUUGAGUGGCAAGUUACCUGGAAAUCGUGUUUCGAUGACGUGUACUGCAUGGAGGUGUAAUGGAGAUAAGACACUUGACAGCACUGUUAGUAAUCAAUAUAUAUUGAAAAUUGUUGUGUGAAAUAAUUAGAAUUUCACAAACAUCUCUUUAAAUGAAUCUUAAAUAUGAAAAACCGAAACAAAAAGUUAAUAGAAAAAAGAAAAACAACAAUUAAAACAUACACAUUUGUUAAAUGUAUGUAGGGUUGGGAUUAGGCAGACUUGUAUCCUAUACUGUACUAAGGUCACUGCACGGACACAUAAAAACAAAAAUCAGUCAUUCUGAGUUCGAUCAGUGCAGAUAUGCUUUGCUUUCUGAGGUUGCUUAAGAACAAAAGAUAACAUUUUACAGUGUUUUCUCUAUUCUUUUAUUCAUAAUGCAUAUUUUGUUGACUGUUCUAUUUCCUUUAUGAUAAUAUCGGUAUUGACAUCAUAUCCUGUGACAAGUUUUUCUCAUAUGUCCUUGGUACAAUAUGCAAAUUGUAAUGUUGAUUGUUACUAAGAAUGACAGUCUGCCAGCAGAAAAAAAAUUUUAGCUCACCAGAAACGGAGGGCCAAGUGAACUAUAGGGAAAGUGCAGCAUCCGGCAUCUGUCAACGUUUCCUUUAAAUCAUUUCAUGCCAUAAACAAUUGAGAUUUUAACAAAAUUUGUCAAAUUAAUUUGUUAAUCCUAAGUGAAAAGGGAACCUAUUUAUGAAAAACCGUGAGUCUGCCCUCCUUGGGACUGAGGGACGGGGCACAAGGGAGGAAAAUUUAUCUAUUUCUUUCAGGAAUUGUAGAAAAUUGUCCAGAUUUGGACUGAAGUAUACUUGAGUGAAUAGAAACAUCAAUUAUGUAUUAACAGUAGGUCUUAACCCCCUGGAUGACAGGGGAAAUAGAGCAAUUCUUUUAACAUUCUUUCCUGCUGUUGGAAUGAUUAGAUUUUUGCCAAACUGAGUUUCGGUCCUUUGGAGCAGACAUUGAGAUGUGAGAUUGGAGUGGGUCGAACCCGAUAAGGGAAAUAGCGCAAAUUCUUUAUAAUCCUGCUUCUGUGAGAAAUACCUGGAUGUUGUUCCAAAUUUGGCCAGAAGAUUACCAUGGUGAUGGGGAAUCAAUUUUGUAUGAUUGGUGGACUACAACCCCUUGGGUGGCAUCCUUCUUAUGUAGGAAUGCAUGAAUUCUGUCCAAAUUUGACCUGAGACAUGCCCUGGUGAAGGAGAUCAAUGUAUAAACAGUGAGUUCCUGCUAGGGCGGGAGCUGUGGGGCCAAAUAGUGAAAUUAUAGCCAUUUCUGUAAAAUCCUUCUUCUGUUGGAACUGGAGACAUCCUUGGUAAAGAAAACUCCAGAUUUACAAAACUUUACUUCUAACCCCCUUUGCAAGGGGUCUAUUACAGGGAAAUAGAUACAUAUUUUUGAAAUACUUUUUUCUUUUAGUUUAAUUUUAUCAAUUUCAGCAAACUAUCCAAGGUGAGCAAUACAAGCCCUAUUGGCCUCUUGUUAGAAGUGUGCAUAACAUAAAUCCAGUCAAGGAUUUAAUUAAUGUGAUAUCAUCAUAAACUCAUCAACUUAAUUACUUUUAAUUACUAAUUACUAUUAAUUAUUAUAUUGAUAUUUUUAUCAUUGAAUGUCUUUGAAAUAAUGUAUCACUUAUGAUCAGGUUAUGUUAUUUGUAAAUCUAUGUCUAUUGUCUAUUGUCUAUUGUCUAUUAAAUCUACUAAAUCUAUUAUAUCCAAAUUUAACGUUGGUGUACCGAGGGCCUUUGUAAUGUUGAUGUAACUUGUGCCAAAUCCUUUUGCUACAUUUAUACAAUAAAAUUUUAUAUAACAAGACAAA